rnacentral:rRNA from 1 species
UGGGGAAUAUUGGGCAAUGGGGGAAACCCUGACCCAGCAACGCCGCGUGAAGGAAGAAGGCCUUCGGGUUGUAAACUUCUUUGAUCAGGGAAGAAACAAAUGACGGUACCUGAAAAACAAGCCACGGCUAACUACGUGCCAGCAGCCGCGGUAAUACGUAGGUGGCAAGCGUUAUCCGGAUUUACUGGGUGUAAAGGGCGUGUAGGCGGUCUCAUAAGUCAGAUGUGAAAUUCCCGGGCUUAACCCGGGCGCUGCAUCUGAAACUGUGGGACUUGAGUACUGGAGAGGAUAGUGGAAUUCCUAGUGUAGCGGUAAAAUGCGUAGAUAUUAGGAGGAACACCGGUGGCGAAGGCGACUAUCUGGACAGUAACUGACGCUGAGGCGCGAAAGCGUGGGGAGCAAACAGG